CAGCAGCCGCGGUAAUACGUAGGUGGCAAGCGUUGUCCGGAAUUAUUGGGCGUAAAGCGCGCGCAGGUGGUUCCUUAAGUCUGAUGUGAAAGCCCACGGCUCAACCGUGGAGGGUCAUUGGAAACUGGGGGACUUGAGUGCAGAAGAGGAAAGUGGAAUUCCAAGUGUAGCGGUGAAAUGCGUAGAUAUUUGGAGGAACACCAGUGGCGAAGGCGACUUUCUGGUCUGUAACUGACACUGAGGCGCGAAAGCGUGGGGAGCAAACAGGAUUAGAUACCCCUGUAGUCCCUGUCUCUUAUAC
rnacentral:rRNA from 1 species